UGCUAAGCGGGUCCCAUGCAUUGAAAUGACUAGAGCCACCUAUAUCCCAGGGGACAUGCAGCAAAAUCAUGCAAAUUUAGUAACAUGCACUGAAGAGAAAAACUGCAGGCAGGAGUAGAGAACCCCAAACCUGCCCAUAGGAACCCAGAAAAACCUGUAGGAAUGACCCCCCAAACAGAGGGGGCUGAACAUAAAAUAAAAAUAAA